AUUUUCUUCAGGGAUUCCAGUAUGGACCAGAAAGGAGGAGGUUUAUAUUCAGUAGACUGUGUAAGUAACUGCUGCUUCCCAGGCCUUGAACUUAAAAAUUUCAAUAUCUCUGACUUAGGAUAAGAGAGUCUUGUAGAUUCAUGGGAGUUGGAGAAAGUUAGAUUCCUGUCACAGUUACAGCAAUAAUGAGAAUGUGUCUGUGCCUUACACACAGUCUUGGUGAUUUGUUACAUUUUCUCUAAGCAUGUGUGACAGGGUUCUCUAUUCACCCUGUAUGACAGGGUUCUACAUUCACAGUACAUAAGUUCAACAUGUGUAAUACAUUACAAAUCCAUUAAUGUUCUGGGAUGGUACCAGAGAUGAGCAGAGACUCUCAGAUGACUAAGCAUUGCACCCCCAGAAAGGACUGUGAAUGAAUAUGUGCAUGCAGAGUGGUAACCUAUAGAGCUUUAUUUAGCGACAGUCUUGCAGCAGUGAAUUUGAGACUAUGAAUAGCAAAUGGACGCCCUCAGAUUUGCUUAGAUCCAUGCAUCCUUUUACAUGGUCCAAAGUUAGUGUAAGAGACUUUAAUAUACUGUGACUGAAGAGUUAGAUCUCUGUAAUUAGGCCUGAAGGGUGUGUGUAUAUACACAUACAUGUAUAUAUGUGUAUACACAUACAUGGUAAUAAUUAAAAGAUGCAGUCUGCAUUUUGAAUUAUACUUUCCUGCCUCCUUUCUAGGAAGGUCUAGGUCAAUUAGCUCUCAGUAAUCACAAGUAUGUAUGAAUGAAAAUGCUAUUUAAAUAAAAGAAGAGCCGAUGCUUAAGGCAAUUUUUAACUAGCAGUCUCAAAUUACCACCUUUGCUAAUAGAUUUCAUAUGACCUUGUUCAGAUGGUACUUAUCCCAGAAUAGUACACCCUGCUACUUGGGAAACAGCAAAAUGCCAGUCCUUUCAUGUGAUACUAUGGCAAUAAGGGUCCUUUGUGAGGCUUGA
rnacentral:lncRNA from 1 species